CCUACGGGGGGCAGCAGUGGGGAAUAUUGGACAAUGGGCGAAAGCCUGAUCCAGCCAUGCCGCGUGUGUGAAGAAGGCCUUCGGGUUGUAAAGCACUUUCAGUGGGGAAGAAAGCCUUGGGGCUAAUACCCUCGAGGAAGGACAUCACCCACAGAAGAAGCACCGGCUAACUCCGUGCCAGCAGCCGCGGUAAUACGGAGGGUGCGAGCGUUAAUCGGAAUUACUGGGCGUAAAGCGCGCGUAGGCGGUCUGAUAAGCCGGUUGUGAAAGCCCCGGGCUCAACCUGGGAACGGCAUCCGGAACUGUCAGGCUAGAGUGCAGGAGAGGAAGGUGGAAUUCCCGGUGUAGCGGUGAAAUGCGUAGAGAUCGGGAGGAAUACCAGUGGCGAAGGCGGCCUUCUGGACUGACACUGACGCUGAGGUGCGAAAGCGUGGGUAGCAAACAGGAUUAGAUACCCCGGUAGUC
rnacentral:rRNA from 1 species